AUUGAACGCUGGCGGCAGGCUUAACACAUGCAAGUCGAGCGGGGUGAUGGCGCUUGCACUAUCACUUAGCGGCGGACGGGUGAGUAAUGCUUAGGAAUCUGCCUAUUAGUGGGGGACAACAUCUCGAAAGGGAUGCUAAUACCGCAUACGUCCUACGGGAGAAAGCAGGGGAUCACUUGUGACCUUGCGCUAAUAGAUGAGCCUAAGUCGGAUUAGCUAGUUGGUGGGGUAAGGGCCGACCAAGGCGACGAUCUGUAGCGGGUCUGAGAGGAUGAUCCGCCACACUGGGACUGCGACACGGCCCAGACUCCUACGGGAGGCAGCAAUGGGGAAUAUUGACCAAUGGGGGGAACCCUGAUCCAGCCAUGCCGCGGGUGUGAAGAAGGCCUUAUGGUUGUAAAGCACUUUAAGCGAGGAGGAGGCUCUUUUGGUUAAUACCCAAGAUGAGUGGACGUUACUCGCAGAAUAAGCACCGGCUAACUCUGUGCCAGCCGCCGCGGUAA
rnacentral:rRNA from 1 species